rnacentral:lncRNA from 13 species
AUGACUAUUGAUACAAAUGUGUAUGCGAUAGAAGAACAACUGACAACUGGGCUUGCCUUUAAAAUACUAGAAUUGGCUGUUCAGGACUCAACUGCCCUCUGUGUUUUCUUCAUACUGUUUUCUUUUGUUGAGAUCCAUCAGCACAGUUCUGAACUGGGGUUUCAUCUAACUCUUGUGACUUUGACUCAUAGUUCCAGGUGGACCAGCACCUUUGGCAGAUGCAUUAACACUAUCCCAUGUGGAAAGAGUCAUUUUUCCAAAUCGGCAGCUCUCACACUAUUCAGAUUCGAGCUUAUGCUGUUAAAAGUCACCUAGUAUCCAACAGGUAACUUACUAAGGUCAAAGAGUGUCAGUAACCACACACUCUCAGGAAGUGGUAUGAUUGAAAAUCAAAUCCACUGCUACCUUUUCAAGUCUGGAAGAGGAAACCUCAUUAAGAUCACACUGCAGUACAGUAAGGUGAGUAAGAUGUGGAUAACAACAGAGAGAUCUAAACUCAAAAUCUGUGUCCUAGGACCAUGAGCAGACUUAGAUGGGAAGGAGCUGCCUCGGCUAUUGCAGCAAUAUGAUUCUCUUAACCACCUGGGAAACUAGCUAAUGUAUUUUUAACAAGAUAAAGAAACAUAAAAAUGUGAGAAGGUAUUAUUGUUAAGUGGGAGUAGAAUUCAAUUGAAUAGGUGAAUUUUUUACAGGGGGGCUGGAGCAGCAAGUGCGAGUCCCAGUAUUGAAGUCAUAUUGUCAUCCCCUUUUUCCCAGGUUUCCCCUCCUGGGGAUCACCACCUUUAUGGCAAACAUCUGGGUGAUGACCAGCGAAGCAACUGCCCAUCACAGCAGCAAUAUAAAAUUUGAUCCACAUUCGACUCAUAUUCCAGUUUGUGAGCUGCAGUGAUCACCCGUUGAAGCAGCUGUACUUGGUCUUAAAAUCCCUACUCACACCAGAUGAGGUGGCUGAGCAGAUACAGGAUGAUGAAGCAGGGUUGCAGCGGUAUAAUAGUUUGCAACAGCACUGAGUUGAGCUGUCAGAAAGUCAUACAAAUUCUAUCAAAUAUCUGGAAAGACGAAGUGGAAGCCUGCCAAGACAUAACCUGUCUAGGGCUUGGAGAAUUCAAAUGAUUUGGUUUUACAAACCUGCAUAGCCACUACACAGGUUUUUGUGAAUUUCACCAAAACUGGAAAUAAAUGAUUUUUUCAUUGCCUUCACCCAUGUGGAAGAAACAUUCUAUAUCACGGGAAAUGUUCUUUGAGAAUGCAGCACUGAUGGGGCCUGUAUUAAAAAUGUGCUUUAAAUCAAAUGGGAGAGCAAAAAAGAAUGAAAUACAGACUGUAAAGAAAGCAGGUGUCAUUUGAUGUGAUCUAGUUCAAACUUGUAGUUGUCUCACCCUUGUACAAAGAUUUAGCAGAAGCCUUCAGGAUUAAUACAAAACAAAAUGCUGAGAUAUUUUUAUUGUCUUAAUAAUCUUCUUUCUGAGUGAUGGUUGAGACCCUCAGAAUACAUAAACCAAAAUAUUUAUACUGUAUUCAUGCCUGCUAUAUAGCUAUCUAAUUACUAUUUUUACACAGCUUUGGUGACUAUGAGUAAAAGUUGACUAAAACCAAUACUGUUUUGUUGAUGUUGUGUUUGAUUUUGCUGUUGUUGUUUUGGUUUGGUUUUGGUGUGGUGGGUUUUUUAAGAUGCUUGCUGUUUCAAGAGUCAUUUCAGUCUAUAUCCCAGUAAUAAACACACAGCAAAUCCACACUGUAGGUUUGUGAUCAGUGUACUAGAAACAAAAGUCAGGAGCAUAGAUGUUGGAAAGGCAUCCUUUAUUAUGUGUACAUUUCUUUGAGAUAAUUUAGGGGAUAUUCAGAUAUUUGCCUGCAAACCAGCCCCUCCAGUAUUCUAAGGUCCAACAGUAGGAAUAUGGCUAUCUGAGCUCUUACUCAGGCUCCGUUUUGGUUUUAGCUGAUCUAGAUGCAGCAGUUUCCAUCAGAAAUCUUGUAAGAGGUUGUCCUGUACUACAGCUGUUAGCACCCCAAAUUCUUACCAGAUCAAAUCAAAGUUCUGGAUGUGAGCUGCUGCUGCUGAAGGGGGACACGCUGCUUUUUUGCCACUAUUGCUUGGUGGCAGCAGAGAGUCAUCACUUUUUAAACUGCGACAUUUGUCAUCUAACAUUGACAAUAUCCAUGAGUCAGGGUGUUUAGCACAGCACGUGCACACUACAGUGUCCCAUGGGUUCUUGAGAUGACCCCCUUACGGCUUGCCAACUCAUGGUUUUAGGCAGACCAAGUCCUGAGCUAUGCAAACAAGCCCUACACCUCUCUCUCUAUAUAUUGCACAUAUUUCUCCUUUUAUUUCUGGAGUUAGAUCUAAGGAAAUCAGUAUGCUUAGCUCACCUCAGAGCACAGUGGGGCAUUGCUUAAACUGACUGAUGUCUUGCACAUAAAUAGUGAACGAAGGUCAGAUAAACUUAAUGUAUGAAUGCAAAUGCCCCUGUUGAAGCAAAGAACUCAGGCAACCCAGGCUUGAUAAUUUAUCUAGUGCAGCAUUUUUGCUGGUAGCACAGCUCUGUCUCUGCAGUGUGUUGUCAUCAGUGCCUUUGUCCAUACAAACGUUAUUAACAUUAUAAAAGCCCCAUGAGGCCCCAGUCCUCAGCACUUUACCAAUGCCACUCUAUGGUCAAGAGCCCUGUCCUGGAGAGCAGUCUAGGUCUGUGGGGUACAAUACUUCCUUUGUCUAGAUUCUAUAGCACAGCAGAUCCAAGAAGAUUCACAUGUGCCUCUGUGAGAGGAGAAGGCUUGGACUGGUCACAGCCAGUCUUGUGUGCUUUUUAUUCCUCUUAUUUGCCUUCUCUGUUUUAACUUGUUUUAUAGGUGCAACUGAAUUCUCAAGCAAGAUUGAAUUUUUAUGCCUGAAAUUGUUUGUUAUACAUUUAUACUGAAGUAAUACAUCUACAUACUGCUGUUGUAAAAAGCAUUGUUUUGUGUUGUACAGAAAUUUGUGAACUUGCUUUAUUGGCUCUUGUCGAUGCCACAAUAAAAUCCAUCUGUACUUGGAGCAAAGAGAUAAUGCUUGGCUGAACACAGGAAUAUUCCUCUUUGUAAAUUCUUACUCUCUUUCCAUGAAUUAAGAAUUAUUCUUUACCCUUGUCUGUUAUCUUGUCUUCAUGGUCUGGAUAAGUUUUUGGAAUGUAAGAAUUCAGUCAACAUUAACUUUGUUCCUCUGCUUUGCUCAGUUUAAAACUGUUUCUGUGACAACAGGAAAUUAAUUUUUUGAAGAAAAGUAUUGGUCUCUUGAGGUUUCCUAGAAGACCUAAUAUUGUUAUCUUCCAUAAAAUGACAGCAAAUACAGUCAAUUAUUUUGUUGAACCUUUCUGUACUGCAAUUCUGUUCAUAUAUGUAUAGUUACUGUCUAAUUGGAUAUGCACUUGUCCUGCAGAUAGUUGGUUUCAGACAGACCAAACAGUGCAUUGCUAUGUCCACAAACGAAGUGUUAAUGUUUUGCUUUAUACCAGACUUACUUCAUGUCAGGAUGUAUAUCAAUAAACAGCUAGUCAUAUAUACAUGUAUAAAAAAUUGCAGAAAUUAAACUCUUUCACACAUUUACAAGGGGAGGGGAUGAAGUCUCACAUGAUUUCUGGUACGUCAUGUUGAGCAGCAGCUAACACUGCAGCAUCCAUGGUUCACUUAAUUUCUUUGUCUCUACAGUUGACCCUGCCCUAGAUGAGAGAAAGUUGAUCACAGAGGAGAAAAUGGGGCCACAGUCUAUUUCUUAAGUACAGCUCUGCAGCGAAAAGGAUAGGAUUUUCUGUACAUGGUUUAUGUUGGUGUUUGAGCUGCUGAAGUACUGACAGCACUAUCUAUAAUUCAGUGAUAAAAACUGUAACACUAUACACAUGAAUGGCUGCUGUUCAAAUACCAGGACGUCCUCAGGCUAGACCACUGAUAUCAAGAAAUAUUUUUAUCCCCAUCCGACAGAUUCUGAAAUCGAAGACGGGAGUGACUGUAUCGCCUCAAAUCACACUGCAAUUUAGAAAGCACCCAUGAGUGUUUAAUAUAUGUUAUAUAAUAGUCUGUAUAAUUUAGCACAUGUAUUUAAUAUGUAUUAAACAUUCACUGAUAGUUUCUAACUUGCUGUGUGAUUCACAACUGUGUGAAUCCCUUCUUUGGUUUCUGAAUAUAUAAAUAAUAAACCCUUCUGGUUAUAUUUUAAUAUUUUGUUCUUCUGUUAUUUUUUUUGUAUUCUGCCCUCUGGCUGUUCUUUCCAUGCACCUGGUAGCUGCCAUGUUUUAAAAGGUUCCUUCUUUAGCUCCAUCAACCUAUCUGCUGUGGGCACUAAGGAAACAAAAAUCUGCUAGGAGAAUUUCUGAAAAUCUUCUGUAAGUUGUGAUUGAAAUUAAAGUACCUUUAGACUUGAUCUAUGAAUUGAGUAAAACAUUUUAAUCUGUAAAUUAAUCAAAAGCCUAUGGUCUCUGGCAAUUCUGUGUAGCUAAUAUUUUAUUCUGGGUUUUAUAACCAUAUAACAAAGAAGCCACUAAAACUGAACAUCUAGCAAAAUGAUCUGGUACUCAUUCUUUCUGAAAGAAUUAUACCACAAAUGUAAACAGAUCAGAGGUUAUUUAAUUAUUUAGGUUUAGAUUUCAGGUGGGACAUAUCCAAAGUAUAAUGUGAAGACAAGAAUAAAUUCUUUGCACCUAUGAAAAGACAGGCUGCGGAGUCAGGCAUAACACAUUUAUUUACCAUGCAGAGAGAGAAUAUUUGCUUCUAACUCAUUUAUAAAAUUCUUCCCUCCAGCGAGAUGGAAGUAAUUUUGUGGUCAGUGGGAUCUGUUGGAUGUCCUUUCCUAGUUUAAGUGUUAGAUAUUGUACGUGAGGCAUGCAGUCCUGUGUGUAAUGUACUCCAUCUGUUACAAGACUGAAAGGCACAUUUGGUGCACGCGCCUGCCAAAUGAACUGCUGUGAGCUGCCAAAAGUGUAAGAUGUUAAAAGGGAGAGAAGGUUGAAUUUCCUGAUUGUCUAAUGCCUGCGAAUGUAGCAACUGGAAAGUAAUUUCUAGUAUGGCAUACAGUGG